GACGAACGCUGGCGGCGUGCUUAACACAUGCAAGUCGAACGGAAAGGCCCUGCUUUUGUGGGGUGCUCGAGUGGCGAACGGGUGAGUAACACGUGAGUAACCUGCCCUUGACUUUGGGAUAACUUCAGGAAACUGGGGCUAAUACCGGAUAGGAGCUCCUGCUGCAUGGUGGGGGUUGGAAAGUUUCGGCGGUUGGGGAUGGACUCGCGGCUUAUCAGCUUGUUGGUGGGGUAGUGGCUUACCAAGGCUUUGACGGGUAGCCGGCCUGAGAGGGUGACCGGCCACAUGGGGACUGAGAGACGGCCCAGACUCCUACGGGAGGCAGCAGUGGGGAAUAUUGCACAAUGGGCGGAAGCCUGAUGCAGCAACGCCGCGUGUGGGAUGACGGCCUUCGGGUUGUAAACCGCUUUCGCCUGUGACGAAGCGUGAGUGACGGUAAUGGGUAAAGAAGCACCGGCUAACUACGUG
rnacentral:rRNA from 1 species